rnacentral:pre_miRNA from 1 species
UUAUGUUCAUGUUCAUGAUCGUGAUCAUGGUUGUGAUCGUGGUCAUGAUUGUGGUCAUGUUCAUGAUCAUGGUCAUGGUCGUGAUCAUGAUGGUGA